rnacentral:rRNA from 1 species
CCCUUAGAUGUUCUGGGCCGCACGCGCGCUACACUGAUGCAUUCAACGAGCCUAUCCUGGACCGACAGGUCCGGGUAAUCUUUGAAUCUGCAUCGUGACGGGGAUAGAUUAUUGCAAUUAUUAAUCUUCAACGAGGAAUGCCUAGUAGGCGCAAGUCAUCAGCUUGCGUCGAUUACGUCCCUGCCCUUUGUACACACCGCCCGUCGCUCCUACCGAUUGGGUGUGCUGGUGAAAUGUUCGGAUCGGCCGUUUGUCGCGGUUUCCGCGUCAUGUGGCUGAGAAGUUCAUUAAACCCUCCCACCUAGAGGAAGGAGAAGUCGUAACA